rnacentral:rRNA from 1 species
CCUACGGGGUGCAGCAGUGGGGAAUAUUGCGCAAUGGGCGAAAGCCUGACGCAGCGACGCCGCGUGAGGGAUGAAGGUCUUCGGAUCGUAAACCUCUGUCAGCAGGGAAGAACGGUCACUGUGCUAAUCAGCAGUGAAUUGACGGUACCUGCAAAGGAAGCACCGGCUAACUCCGUGCCAGCAGCCGCGGUAAUACGGAGGGUGCGAGCGUUAAUCGGAAUUACUGGGCGUAAAGCGCUCGUAGGCGGUAUGUCAAGUCAAGGGUGAAAUCCCCGCGCUCAACGUGGGAACUGCCUUUGAAACUGGCAAACUGGAGUGUGUGAGAGGAUAGUGGAAUGCCAGGUGUAGGAGUGAAAGCCGUAGAUAUCUGGAGGAACAUCAGUGGCGAAGGCGACUAUCUGGCACAUAACUGACGCUGAGGAGCGAAAGCGUGGGUAGCAAACAGGAUUAGAUACCCGAGUAGUC